GAUGAACGCUGGCGGCGUGCCUAAUACAUGCAAGUCGAGCGAACGGACGAGAAGCUUGCUUCUCUGAUGUUAGCGGCGGACGGGUGAGUAACACGUGGAUAACCUACCUAUAAGACUGGGAUAACUUCGGGAAACCGGAGCUAAUACCGGAUAAUAUUUUGAACCGCAUGGUUCAAAAGUGAAAGACGGUCUUGCUGUCACUUAUAGAUGGAUCCGCGCUGCAUUAGCUAGUUGGUAAGGUAACGGCUUACCAAGGCAACGAUGCAUAGCCGACCUGAGAGGGUGAUCGGCCACACUGGAACUGAGACACGGUCCAGACUCCUACGGGAGGCAGCAGUAGGGAAUCUUCCGCAAUGGGCGAAAGCCUGACGGAGCAACGCCGCGUGAGUGAUGAAGGUCUUCGGAUCGUAAAACUCUGUUAUUAGGGAAGAACAUAUGUGUAAGUAACUGUGCACAUCUUGACGGUACCUAAUCAGAAAGCCACGGCUAACUACGUGCCAGCAGCCGCGGUAAUACGUAGGUGGCAAGCGUUAUCCGGAAUUAUUGGGCGUAAAGCGCGCGUAGGCGGUUUUUUAAGUCUGAUGUGAAAGCCCACGGCUCAACCGUGGAGGGUCAUUGGAAACUGGAAAACUUGAGUGCAGAAGAGGAAAGUGGAAUUCCAUGUGUAGCGGUGAAAUGCGCAGAGAUAUGGAGGAACACCAGUGGCGAAGGCGACUUUCUGGUCUGUAACUGACGCUGAUGUGCGAAAGCGUGGGGAUCAAACAGGAUUAGAUACCCUGGUAGUCCACGCCGUAAACGAUGAGUGCUAAGUGUUAGGGGGUUUCCGCCCCUUAGUGCUGCAGCUAACGCAUUAAGCACUCCGCCUGGGGAGUACGACCGCAAGGUUGAAACUCAAAGGAAUUGACGGGGACCCGCACAAGCGGUGGAGCAUGUGGUUUAAUUCGAAGCAACGCGAAGAACCUUACCAAAUCUUGGCAUCCCUUGACAACUCUAGAGAUAGAGCCUUCCCCUUCGGGGGGGCAAAGUGACAGGUGGUGCAUGGUUGUCGUCAGCUCGUGUCGUGAGAUGUUGGGUUAAGUCCCGCAACGAGCGCAACCCUUAAGCUUAGUUGCCAUCAUUAAGUUGGGCACUCUAAGUUGAUUGCCGGUGACAAACCGGAGGAAGGUGGGGAUGACGUCAAAUCAUCAUGCCCCUUAUGAUUUGGGCUACACACGUGCUACAAUGGACAAUACAAAGGGCAGCGAAACCGCGAGGUCAAGCAAAUCCCAUAAAGUUGUUCUCAGUUCGGAUUGUAGUCUGCAACUCGACUACAUGAAGCUGGAAUCGCUAGUAAUCGUAGAUCAGCAUGCUACGGUGAAUACGUUCCCGGGUCU
rnacentral:rRNA from 1 species